CCUACGGGAGGCAGCAGUUAGGAAUAUUGGGCAAUGGAGGAAACUCUGACCCAGCAACGCCGCGUGAAGGAAGAAGGUUUUCGGAUUGUAAACUUCUGAUCUGUGGGACGAAGAAAGUGACGGUACCACAGGAGAAAUCCACGGCUAACUACGUGCCAGCAGCCGCGGUAAUACGUAGGUGGCGAGCGUUGUCCGGAAUAACUGGGCGUAAAGGGAGUGUAGGCGGCAUAUUAAGUUAUGUGUGAAAGCCCGCGGCUCAACCGCGGAAUUGCACAUAAAACUGGUAAGCUGGAGUGCAGGAGAGGUAAGUGGAAUUCCCGGUGGAGCGGUGGAAUGCGUAGAUAUCGGGAGGAACACCAGAGGCGAAGGCGACUUACUGGACUGUAACUGACGCUGAGGCUCGAAAGCGUGGGGAGCAAACAGGAUUAGAUACCCUUGUAGUC
rnacentral:rRNA from 1 species